rnacentral:rRNA from 1 species
GAGUUUGAUCUUGGCUCAGAACGAACGCUGGCGGCGUGGAUAAGACAUGCAAGUCGAACGAGACUUUAGGGGCUUGCUCCUGAAGUUUAGUGGCGCACGGGGUGCGUAACACGUGAGUAAUCUGCCGAGAAGUGGGGGAUAGCUCGCCGAAAGGCGAAUUAAUACCGCAUAUGGCCAGGGAGGACAUCCUUCCGACGCCAAAGUCGCAAGACGCUUCUUGAUGAGCUCGCGGCCUAUCAGCUUGUUGGUGAGGUAACGGCUCACCAAGGCUUUGACGGGUAGCUGGUCUGAGAGGACGACCAGUCACACUGGAACUGAGACACGGUCCAGACACCUACGGGUGGCAGCAGUCGAGAAUUUUUCACAAUGGGGGAAACCCUGAUGGAGCGACGCCGCGUGGAGGAUGAAGGCGUUUUCGUCGUAAACUCCUGUCAAACGGGAACAAGAAAGUGAUAGUACCGUUAGAGGAAGAGACGGCUAACUCUGUGCCAGCAGCCGCGGUAAU